rnacentral:lncRNA from 1 species
GAGAGUGUGUUGUCUUGCCAGAGCUUGUCUCAUUAAAAAAGCAAAGUUAGCAUUGUCUGUUCUCACAUCAGAUGUUAAUUACCUGGGGCUUUGUCGCAGAGAGCUUAAGGAGCGAAUCCAGAGACAGACUCGGGUCAUAUUCGACUCUGCCUGGAUCCCUAACAGCAACACAUUGUCUGCUUGCAUCACAUCACCUGCCACUGCUCCUCCCCGAUCCACACUCAUCUAGCUGGCCCUGGAGAGUUACACACAAUAGCACUAUCUAAUUGGCUACUUUCCCUCUGCCCCGCUGGAGAAGGAGGUGUCCAGAUUGUAGUCACAAGCUAAACCAAUUCAACCUCAGUUCCUUCUUACAGGGUCUCCCUGGCAACGAUGGCAUACCAGGGAAACCGGGUCCAGCCGGCCAAGCACCUCCUGUUUUGAUGCCUCAGGAUUCAGCUUCCACAGGCAAUGAGAGCUGUGGCGAAUGCUCCAAGGGUCUACCAGGUGUGCCUGGCAUGGUUGGCGCUAAGGGCGAGAAGGGAGAUCAGGGCAAGCCUGGCGCUGAACACGUAGAUGGAUGUGAACGGUGUAUAGAGAAGCUGCAGAGAGAAGAAACACCAAGUGGGCCUACGAGUAACAGUGUUCAGUGCGUUGGUGCACCAGGGAUGCCCGGAUUCCCAGGGACCGCAGGGGUGAAAGGAGAGCCGGUGAGAGAUCCUGUCGAGUUUCAUUACUAUCAGUGCCUAUUGGAGAGGAUA